UCAGUGCUCAUUUUCAUGGUUCAGUUUUUUAAAAAAAGUUAAAUUAUAUUUACCUUUUUCACAACCCAUUCAAGAAUAGGUGAGAUAGAUUUCCUCACCAUCUCCUCCAUUGUCUGAUUGGUUGUUGUUUUCUUUGCAGAAACACUGUUGAAUUGACAACCCCUGUUCCACAGCUAGGACAACAGAGAUAGCAUAUGAACACUUAGUGACUAGCAAUUAUCUGAGAAACUGAAAAGCAAUAGCAGUCUUGGCUUGGAACACUGCCAUGGAAAGGAAGUGACCCAGGUCUGGCUUCUCCAUAUCCAUGUGCACUGCAUAAUUCUCCAACGAGAACAUGUGUCUUAUGUAAAACCUUGAUGUUCU
rnacentral:lncRNA from 1 species